ACUACAUAGUAACAGAGGAGCCCUAGAUGAUUUAGACAAGGUCUGGGAGCUGCUCGACGAUAAAUUGGAUCUUAAAUUAAGUACAACCUAGAAGGGCAUUCACAUUAGGUGUGGUAUCAGUUGCCAUGAGUCACAAUGAAAAAUAUUCGUCAAUGAGAAUAUGGGACCUAGAAAAAUGAGAAAAAAUUGCGAAUAUUGAUGUGGGACCUGUAGAUCUCUGGACGGUUGCGUUCAGUCCGGACAAUAUACACAUCAUUUCUGGAAGCCACUCGGGCAAAAUCACUCAGUAUAGCGUUGAAACCGCAGCGGUAGAACAGUCAUUUGACACCAGAGGAAAAUUUACUCUGAGCAUUGCUUACAGUACCGAUGGACAGUACAUAGCUAGUGGUUUUAUUAAAAUUUUUGACGUUGCUACUAACAAAUUAUGGCACACUCUAGAGAGUCACGCUAUGCCAAUAUCAGGUAU